AGUUGGGAGCCACAGUUUGCAGACUCUCAAUUGCAAUCACUCUCAGCAUAUUACAGAUAAUGUCAGGAAUUUUGGGUUGCUGUGUUGAUUGGUGGAUUUUCUCAGUUGCGGAGCUCCAUGUUUCCACUAGCUGGCCUGGCUAGAGGACGCAGUGGAGAUCUAGAAGCCGCCGUUUCUUGUUCGGCGGACGAAGCUCAGCAGCAAUAAUCUUUGUGGUAGCUUCCGUGGUGUCUCACUAUCUCAGCUCUCUAUAGAUAUCCUCGUAAAAGGUGCACUUCUUUACCAAUAAAAGCUCUGGAUCUCUUUCCCUUCCAGCAAUCUUUGUGCACCUUCCUCAUCAUCAUCCUCCUUCGAGCCAACUUGUCUGCUCUCCGACGCUCACUCUGUUCCACCUGCUGAAGCCCUCAGCGUCAGCUCCUCAUUUCCAGCUCCUGCACUCUCCUUAUCAUCCAGCUCCAAGUCUCCAUCAAACCUCUGGCUAAAACCACCACACACACCAACAAGCCUGGGUUCCACUCACUCCUCCCUGGAGGGCCGACAGUGGCUCUGUCGCUCUGUCCUUGGGCGAGACACUUCACCCACCUUGCCUGCUGGUGUUAGUCAGAGGACCCUGCGGAGCCGGUGUAUGGCAGCCUCACUGCUGUAAAAUCUUCCCCAGGGGAAAUGCAGCUACAAUGUUGCUUACCACCAUCAGCAUCAGUGUGCAUGUGAAUGACUGAAUGUGGUUUAAAGCGCUUUGGGGUCCUCUGGACUAGAUAAAGCGCUAUGCUAGUACAGGCCAUUUACCUAUCGCCUUAUCCACACAGUGUCUCUGCUCCCAGGUCUCCAGCAACCCCACUGGAGCAGCAACAAGUCAUUAAUCAAAUAAUUGUAAAAUAAACCUUUUAAGGCU